CAAUCGAGAGGUUCUGAGUUCAGUUCUCGGUCGGUGGAGACGGGUCGAGGCCUCGGACGGAUGGGCAGUUUCCUUCAAUCCGUGGCCCCUGAUCACCCAGCAGUGAAUGGGCACCGGGUGUGAGUCGGGGGUGUGCCCCGCCUCCCGGGGGCGUGUGGGUGUGAGAUACAAAGUUCAUUCGGGGAGGGCACUGGUGGGUGAUUGCGAGUCUGGGUCGUGAUUAACCCGUGGUGAAUUAUACAUUUGCCUGUUAAAGGCAGUCCAUCUGUGUCGGCGAUGACACAGCCCUGGACACUCGGCGGUGCAUGACGGCCGUGUCGCCGCGGCCCAGCAAGGUGCAGGAGCCACGGACUGUGUGGCCCGGCUAACGGGAAGUUUUUUUUUUUUAAAUUUAUGUCGCCACUCAAGGGUGGGGGCACGGGCUGCAUACCGUCCGUCAGGGUCAAGCACAUGUGUCCCUCUGCGGAGGGAGCACAGCCCUUGUCGGGUAACGACUCAUGAUCGAAGAGGAGGAUGCCGACGGACCGACUCUAUCGGCUGACGUUAGUAGAGCCGACAAGUCGGUCUAUCAACGAGGACUGGCGUGUCUGGGGAAGGCAGUCCUGCAGGAGACACGACUCCCUAGGGGGACGCUCAUCGUCCUCAAUUUUCUUCCUUAAACACGCCUUGAAACACACACACACACACACACACACACACACGCCCACUGGGCGCGCGCGCGCGCGCGCCCAGUGGGCAGCAGUCUUCCCUGGCGUGAUCCGCCACGUCAGGCAGAGGAGGCCGUGGCCGCGGGGCGCUGCCAGGCAUACGGACGCGUGUCACAGGCCGCCCCGCCCCGCCCCGCCCCGCCCGCCCCAGCCUCCGUCCCCCGGGCUGGGGCAGCAGCAGCAGCGGCGGCGGCGCGGUUGGCGGGGCCGAGGCAGCAGCAGCCUGCAGCAGGCAGUGUCCCGUGCGCCGCGAGACGGGUCGGUGCCGCGCGUUCGUCGGUGUGCCUGGCCGCCGCCCCCACGCCCAGCAGCCUGCCGCCGCGGCCCCGCCCGCGCCGUGACCAUGGCCAGCGCCAAGAGUGGCGUGCACGUGCUCAAGCUCAAGCACAUCACCGUGCCGCAGCAGCUCCUCGACGGGGACAAGUUCGUCAAAUGGGAGGAGGUGUGUAUUCGAGUCCCCGUGUUAAAGAGAGAGAGAAAGAGGUGACGUGUGUGUACCUGUGUGUGUUACCUGCCCCGUGUUACCUGCGCUGUGUUACCUGUGCAGUGCUAAUUAGAUACCCAGAACUGGCCCCUUCCUUAACCUGUUCUUCGGUAUGGGCGGGAGGAUGCGAACUGGUAAGAAAUGCAACCUCGUGGGCGCCCCGUGACUGUGCUGGCAACGUACGUACGAACACACACACACACACACACACACACACACACACACACACACACACACACACACACACACACACACACACACACACACACACACACACACUAUUGUUACUGUUAUUAUUGUUAUUGUUCUUUUUUUGUUCUUCUUUUUCUCCUUUUUCUUUUACUUCUUCAUUUCUUCACUUCUCCUCGUCCUCCUCUUUCCUCUUUUUCUUCUUUUUUAUCUUCUUUUUCUUCUUUUCCAUCAUCAUCAUCAUCAUCAUCAUCAUCAUCAUCAUCAUCACCAUCACCUGCCCGCCAGGUGUGUCUCGCCUCACCUGUGUGGUAAUUAACGUCAGGUAACAGAGCUUGAACACCUGUCCUGCGAGGGUGAUUCAUGCAGGAGGAGGAGGAGGAGGAGGAGGAGGAGGAACACAAAGCAACACAAAGUAAGAACAAACAACAGCAGACCUGCUCGUCCUUACGAGGCUGUUUGUGACAAGCUACACUAACUAUCUAAUCAAAGGUGGAAGAUGAAGGACAGCAAAGGCGAAGGCUCCUCCCCACCCCCCAUCCCUCCAGCCACAGCUGGCAGGAAAGGAAAAAGAACCAUGCAGCAUGGAAAAACUGCAUGGAAUUUAUGUAGGAAAGAGGAAAGAACUACCAUUACUGCUACCACUAACCGGGCGAUAAAAGCGGACAAGGACACCAGUAUUCGAAAAAAACUUAACGUUAUUACGACAAUGAGUAAUAUCUUAGUUGCUGGUUGGAUUCAAAAUACUUGUCUAAUCUAUUCUUGAAGGCCGUAACUGUUGUGUUGUACUAUCAACGACAAGAGGAAGAAGAAGAAGAAGAAGAAGAAGAGGGGGAGGAAGAAGAAGAAGAAGAAGAAGAAGAAGAAGAAGAAGAAGAAGAUAGUCUGGGAAGGGAAAGGAAGGAAUGGAAAGGAAGGGAAGGGAAGAAAGAUGGAGAGAAGAGAAGGAAGGACACAGGAGGAGGCGGAGGAGGAGGAGGAGGAGGAGGAGGAAUGUUGAUUAUGCUGAUGAAGAAGGAAGAGGAG